AUCUAGCUGACGAGUCCCAAAUAGGAUGAAACACGCGUCCUGGAU
rnacentral:hammerhead_ribozyme from 1 species